rnacentral:rRNA from 1 species
AUCAACGCUGGCGGCGUGCCUAACACAUGCAAGUCGAACGAGAAAGUGGAGCAAUCCAUGAGUACAGUGGCGACCGGGUGAGUACCACGUGAUCAACCUACCUUCGAGUGGGGGAUAACUCCGGGAAACCGGGGCUAAUACCGCAUAAUAUCUUCGGAUCGGAAGAACUGGGGAUCAAAGAACAAUUCGCUUGAAGAGGGUGGUCGCGGCUGAUUAGCUAGUUGGCGGGGUAAUGGCCCACAAGGCGAAGAUCGGUAUCCGGCCUGAGAGGGCGCACGGACACACUGGAACUGAAACACGGUCCAGACUCCUACGGGAGGCAGCAGUGGGGAAUUUUGCGCAAUGGGGGAAACCCUGACGCAGCAACGCCGCGUGGAGGAUGAAGUCCUUUGGACGUAAACUCCCUUCGACCGGGACGAUUAUGACGGUACCGGUGGAAGAAGCCCCGGCUAACUUCGUGCCAGCAGCCGCGGUAAUACGAGGGGGGCAAGCGUUGUUCGGAAUUAUGGGCGUAAAGGGCGCGUAGGCGGUGUGGUAAGUCACCUGUGAAAUCUCCGGGCUCAACUCGGAGUCUGCAGGCGAAACUGCCGUGCUGGAGUAUGGGAGAGGUGCGUGGAAUUCCCGGUGUAGCGGUGAAAUGCGUAGAUAUCGGGAGGAACACCUGUGGCGAAAGCGGCGCACUGGACCAUAACUGACGCUGAGGCGCGAAAGCUAGGGGAGCAAACAGGAUUAGAUACCCUGGUAGUCCUAGCCCUAGACCAUGGAUGCUUGGUGUGGCCGGUACCCAAUCCGGCUGUGCCGAAGCUAACGCGAUAAGCAUCCCGCCUGGGGAGUACGGUCGCAAGGCUGAACUCAAAGGAAUUGACGGGGGCCCGCACAAGCGGUGGAGCAUGUGGUUCAAUUCGACGCAACGCGAAGAACCUUACCUGGGCUCGAAGCGCAGGUGGAAUCCGGUGGAAACAUCGGCGCCCCUCAAAGGCCGCUGCGGAGGUGCUGCAUGGCUGUCGUCAGCUCGUGUCCGUGAGAUGUGGGUUAAGUCCCGCAACGAGCGCAACCCUUAUCUCUAGUUGCCAUCGGGUCAAGCCGGGCACUCUAGCGAAACCGCCCCGGAUAACGGGGAGGAAGGUGGGGAUGACGUCAAGUCCUCAUGGCCUUAUGUCCAGGGCUACACACGUGCUACAAUGGUCGGUACAAAACGUCGCAAACCCGCGAGGGGGAGCUAAUCGGAAAAAGCCGGCCUCAGUUCGGAUUGGAGUCUGCAACCCGACUCCAUGAAGCUGGAAUCGCUAGUAAUCGCAGAUCAGAACGCUGCGGUGAAUACGUUCCCGGGCCUUGUACACACCGCCCGUCACAUCACGAAGUGGACUGCACUAGAAGCCGGUGAGCGAACCGCAAGGACGCAGCCGUCCAAGGUAUGGUUCAUGAUUGGGGUG